rnacentral:rRNA from 1 species
UGAGUACCGUCAUUAUCUUCCUCAACAACAGGAGUUUACAAUCCGAAGACCUUCUUCCUCCACGCGGCGUCGCUGCAUCAGGGUUUCCCC